AAAUGUGAGGUGUUUGGACUAUGACAUUCGUCACCCCGUUGUUUCCAAGGGUUGAUGGAGCUGAUCUGGCUUGGUAGGCAGAUGUCCUCUUUCUCCAUUGCCAUUCUGUGUGUAUCCUUCUGAAAUACACUGACGAGUGACUCCCUCCCCCUACAAAGGAAGACCGUGAUUCAGCUAGGUAUGCAGAAGAAGCUACUAUGGCUAGAACCCCUCAGAUGAGCUUUCAAGGUAACAGUUGUCUUCGUUUUCUAAAUGGAAAAGGUGGCC
rnacentral:snRNA from 1 species